UACGUAGGUGGCAAGCGUUGUCCGGAUUUACUGGGUGUAAAGGGCGUGUAGGCGGGUAAGCAAGUCAGAUGUGAAAUACCGGGGCUCAACUCCGGAACUGCAUCUGAAACUGCAUAUCUUGAGUACUGGAGAGGAAAGUGGAAUUCCUAGUGUAGCGGUGAAAUGCGUAGAUAUUAGGAGGAACACCAGUGGCGAAGGCGGCUUUCUGGACAGUAACUGACGCUGAGGCGCGAAAGCGUGGGGAGCAAACAGGAUUAGAUACCCCGGUA
rnacentral:rRNA from 1 species